GAUGAACGCUGGCGGCGUGCCUAAUACAUGCAAGUCGAGCGAACGGACGAGGAGCUUGCUCCUCUGACGUUAGCGGCGGACGGGUGAGUAACACGUGGAUAACCUACCUAUAAGACUGGGAUAACUUCGGGAAACCGGAGCUAAUACCGGAUAAUAUAUUGAACCGCAUGGUUCAAUAGUGAAAGACGGUUUUGCUGUCACUUAUAGAUGGAUCCGCGCUGCAUUAGCUAGUUGGUAAGGUAACGGCUUACCAAGGCAACGAUGCGUAGCCGACCUGAGAGGGUGAUCGGCCACACUGGAACUGAGACACGGUCCAGACUCCUACGGGAGGCAGCAGUAGGGAAUCUUCCGCAAUGGGCGAAAGCCUGACGGAGCAACGCCGCGUGAGUGAUGAAGGUCUUCGGAUCGUAAAACUCUGUUAUUAGGGAAGAACAAAUGUGUAAGUAACUGUGCACGUCUUGACGGUACCUAAUCAGAAAGCCACGGCUAACUACGUG
rnacentral:rRNA from 1 species